UCCCUGGUGGCUCAGAGAUUAAAGCGUCUGCCUUCAACGCAGGAGGCCUGGGUUCAAUCCCUGGGUCGGGAA
rnacentral:tRNA from 1 species